rnacentral:rRNA from 1 species
AUUGAACGCUGGCGGCAGGCCUAACACAUGCAAGUCGAACGAGUGGCGGACGGGUGAGUAAUGUAUGGGAAACUGCCUGAUGGAGGGGGAUAACUACUGGAAACGGUAGCUAAUACCGCAUACCAUCAAAUGUGCCCAGAUGGGAUUAGCUUGUUGGUGGGGUAACGGCUCACCAAGGCGACGAUCCCUAGCUGGUCUGAGAGGAUGACCAGCCACCCUGGAACUGAGACACGGUCCAGACUCCAACGCGAGGCAGCAGUGGGGAAUAGUGCACAAUGGGCGCAAGCCUGAUGUAGCCAUGCCGCGUGUCUGAAGAAGGCAUGCGGGUUUUAAAGUAAAUCCAGCGGGGAGGCGGUACCCGCAGAAGAAGCACCGGCUAACUCCGUGCCAGCAGCCGCGGUAAUAC